rnacentral:rRNA from 1 species
GACGAACGCUGGCGGCGUGCUUAACACAUGCAAGUCGAACGGAAAGGCCCUGCUUUUGUGGGGUGCUCGAGUGGCGAACGGGUGAGUAACACGUGAGUAACCUGCCCUUGACUUUGGGAUAACUUCAGGAAACUGGGGCUAAUACCGGAUAGGAGCUCCUGCUGCAUGGUGGGGGUUGGAAAGUUUCGGCGGUUGGGGAUGGACUCGCGGCUUAUCAGCUUGUUGGUGGGGUAGUUGCUUACCAAGGCUUUGACGGGUAGGCGGCCUGAGAGGGUUACCGGCCACAUUGGGACUGAGAUACGGCGCAGACUCCUACGUGAGGCAGCAGUGGGGAAUAUUGCACAAUGGGCGGAAGCCUGAUGCAGCAGCGCCGCGUGCGGGAUGACGGCCUUCGGGUUGUAAACCGCUUUCGCCUGUGACGAAGCGUGAGUGACGGUAAUGGGUAAAGAAGCACCGGCUAACUACGUG